UUUUACAUUUGUAGCAACUUUGUAUAUUAGAUGAGGAAAUUUUAGUACCAGAGAUUUUAAGUGACUUCCACGUUAUACAAUUAGCAAGUUGCAAAGCUAGGAGUUCUCCAAGAUAGGAAAAUCUGGAAGAAAGGAAUAACUUGACUCUGAUAUAAAAUUUCUGCAAAAGAA